rnacentral:ncRNA from 1 species
GGGAUGGUGCCCCUGGGUGAAAAGGGAACCGGGUGUGAAUCUCGGACAGACGGUGCUGCUGUGUGCCCCCUGUUUAAUACCCCGUACCUGUCCACUGUGGCUCGCUCCCGAUUGCUGGGACACCAUGGGAAGGACAGGACACAAGAUAGGGUAGGGGCGAGUCAGAAGACCUGCCAAAUCG